UACAGAGGUCUCAAGCGUUGUUCGGAUUCAUUGGGCGUAAAGGGUGCGUAGGCGGCGCGGUAAGUCGGGUGUGAAAUUUCGAGGCUUAACUUCGAAACUGCAUUCGAUACUGCCGUGCUCGAGGACUGGAGAGGAGACUGGAAUUUACGGUGUAGCGGUGAAAUGCGUAGAUAUCGUAAGGAAGACCAGUGGCGAAGGCGGGUCUCUGGACAGUUCCUGACGCUGAGGCACGAAGGCCAGGGGGAGCAAACGGG
rnacentral:rRNA from 1 species